rnacentral:rRNA from 1 species
GAUGAACGCUGGCGGCGUGCCUAAUACAUGCAAGUCGAGCGAAUGGAUUAAGAGCUUGCUCUUAUGAAGUUAGCGGCGGACGGGUGAGUAACACGUGGGUAACCUGCCCAUAAGACUGGGAUAACUUCGGGAAACCGGGGCGAAUACCGGAUAACAUUUGAACCGCAUGGGUCGAAAUUGAAAGGCGGCUUCGGCUGUCACUUAUGGAUGGACCCGCGUAGCAUUAGCUAGUUGGUGAGGUAACGGCUCACCAAGGCAACGAUGCGUAGCCGACCUGAGAGGGUGAUCGGCCACACUGGGACUGAGACACGGCCCAGACUCCUACGGGAGGCAGCAGUAGGGAAUCUUCCGCAAUGGACGAAAGUCUGACGGAGCAACGCCGCGUGAGUGAUGAAGGCUUUCGGGUCGUAAAACUCUGUUGUUAGGGAAGAACAAGUGCUAGUUGAAUAAGCUGGCACCUUGACGGUACCUAACCAGAAAGCCACGGCUAACUACGUGCCAGCAGCCGCCGUAA